GAGUGCAGGGGAUGUGUCUGGGUCACCAUGUGACUAAGCAGGAAGUAUUCAUUCACUCUGCUCAUUUGGGGAAUAGAGUUUGACCUAAUUUAGAUAAGAGACUUGCCUUCCCGAUACUCACCAAAAAUUAAAAUAUCCCCUCAGUGGAUUGCUAGAAAUAGUAUUCCUGAAUUACCUGGUAGAACACACAUCAUCCUUCAGAGGAGGAAGCAGAACACACAUCAUCCUUCAGAGGAGGAAGGGGAGGAAUGACCAUGUCACCAGCCCAGAUGAGUCCUUAACACAGGAAAACCAGCCUGAAGUGAUGUGGACACGAGUUACAGGAGACCGCAGGAACCCGGGUCUAGGCUUCUCAUCCAGUGCUCUUCCACUCCUCUCAGCAUCUGGAGCUGGAUGCCCAUGAAGGCAGCCUUCUCCGAGGAGGCUCUGAGUGGCAGCAAGCCCUCAGGACAGAGCCAGGCAGUUUGAAAUGACUCAACCCUGGAAGAAUUAUUGUAAAGCAUGGUGAAAGUUCCCUUUUUUAUUGCUAAGGAUUUCCCUUUCUCAGUUGAGUAAAAUUUCCAAAGUUAGCCACUGAUUGUUUUGUUAUUCAUGGUGAGCAAGAAACCACAGUGCCCAAAUACCCAGCAUGGAUGUGUGUGUGCAUGUGGGUGUGUGUUUAAGGACAGUGUUCUUGCCCCUUAAUUAUCUCUAGUCCAGGUCUCAGCUCAUCCCGAAGCGUAAAGGCACAGGCAAUGAGGCCCAAAGUUGUUUCCAGGGCAGGAAUGAGAAGAAAGUGAAACAAUGAACUGUUUCCAGGUCAAAUUCAACUUUG
rnacentral:lncRNA from 1 species